CCUACGGGUGGCAGCAGUGGGGAAUAUUGCGCAAUGGGCGAAAGCCUGACGCAGCGACGCCGCGUGAGGGAUGAAGGUCUUCGGAUCGUAAACCUCUGUUAGUAGGGAAGUACGGUCACUGUGCUAAUCAGCAGUGAAUUGACGGUACCUGCAAAGGAAGUACCGGCUAACUCCGUGCCAGCAGCCGCGGCAAUACGGAGGGUGCGAGCGUUAAUCGGAUUUAUUGGGCGUAAAGCGCGCGUAGGCGGGAUGUCAAGUCAGAGGGGAAAUCCCCGGGCUCAACGUGGGAACUGCCUUUGAAACUGGCGAGCUGGAGUGCGUGGGAGGAAAGUGGAAUUCCAGGUGUAGGAGUGAAAUGCGUAGAUAUGUGGAGGAACAUCAGUGGCGAAGGCGACUAUCUGGCACGUAACUGACGCUGAGGAGCGAAAGCGUGGGUAGCAAACAGGAUUAGAUACCCUGGUAGUC
rnacentral:rRNA from 1 species